rnacentral:rRNA from 1 species
ACGAAGGGUGCAAGCGUUGUUCGGAAUUACUGGGCGUAAAGGGUUUGUAGGCUGAAAUGUAAGUCAAGUGUGAAAUCCCCGAGCUAAACUUGGGACGUGCAUUUGAAACUGUGUUUCUUGAGUAUCGUAGAGGGUGGUGGAAUUGUAGGUGUAGGAGCGACAUCCGUAGAGAUCUGCAGGAACAUCAGAGGCGAAGGCGACCACCUGGCCGAUUACUGACGCUGAGGAACGAAAGCGUGGGGAGCAAACAGGAUUAGAUACCCUGGUAGUCCACGCCGUAAACGAUGAUAACUAGGUGUUGGAAGAAUUGACCCUUUCAGUACCGUAGCACACGCGCUAAGUUAUCCGCCUGGGGAGUACGGCCGCAAGGCUA